rnacentral:rRNA from 1 species
GACGAACGCUGGCGGCGUGCUUAACACAUGCAAGUCGAACGAAGUGGCGAACGGGUGAGUAACGCGUAAUCAACCUGCCCUUCAGAGGGGGACAACAGUUGGAAACGACUGCUAAUACCGCAUACUGAAGGAGGGGAUUGCGUCUGAUUAGCUAGUUGGAGGGGUAACGGCCUACCAAGGCGAUGGUCAGUAGCCGGGCUGGGAGGGUGAACGGCAACAUUGGGACCGGGGAACGGCCCAGACUCCUACGGGAGGCAGCAGGUGGGAAUCUUCCGCAAUGGACGGAAAUCUGACGGAGCAACGCCGCGUUAGUGAUGACGGCCUUCGGGUUGGAAAGCUCUGUUAAUCGGGACGCGGUACCGGAAUAGAAAGCCACGGCUAACUACGUGCCAGCCGCCGCGGUAAUAC